UCAUUUUUUUUUUCCAGAAAAACCUUCCACUGCCAUCAUUUGAAAAUUGAUUUACGGGGAGGGGAGAAGGAGGAAGAAGGGAUAAUAUAGAUAUCAGGAUAUCUAUCAUAAAAUUAUCUCGGGUUUUUUAAAUAAAAAAGUCAAAUAUGCAAAAGUAAUAGUUAAUGUAAAGGAGGAAAAAAAGCAACUGCUUAAAAAUAAUCCCUUUAACUAGCUGCAAGAAAAGUUUCAUGUUAUCAACUGAUAUCAAAAACAGGAGGGGAAAAAACGAAAUAUUUCUCACAGGCUUCCAAAAAGGUCAUAAAAAUGCAAAAUUAAUGUCUUUGCUCAGUGGUGCGAAUCGAAUUGCAAGACGACAAACUUGUGAACACUGCUGGAAAAUCCCACCUACACAAAAAUGCAAUCGGAAAAAGAGUACGUAAAAAAGAGUUAGAAACAUGCUUUCUUAUCUUUACAAAGGGAAAAAAAUAGGCACCAUACUUCACAACGCUUUUUCCAUAAAACCAGUUGCACAUUUUGCUGGACUUGGGAGCCGCUCGCAGAGAGCACCGCUGCCGCGGACUCCCAGACACAGCGCCUUGUCUAGAGAACCAUCGCAUGCUAGGAAAACUUGAUUGAGGAAAAGGCUUAAGACUAUGCUCGUCAGCUUUCCCAAAUACAAACAAUAAUCAAAGAAGUGGGAAGAAAAAAAAAGAAGAAGAAGAAGAAGAAGAAAAAAAAACAAAAAACAAAAAAAAAGGAAAAAAAAAAGAAUAGGACAAGAAUGCCACUGAGAAGGUACUCACCGAGCGGGAGUAAAAUGUUGGAAUAAAAAUGAGAUUUAGGAAAAUACAGUAUGGCGGUGGAAGAAGGAAUGAAGCGCGUUUUUUUCUCAGUCUCUGCCUCGGGCACUGACACGUGACUCGGAGCCAGGCGGACUUGCAGGCAGCGGGGCCACCGCGGCUGCUGGGCGACCUCGGAGCCCUCGAAGCCCUCUGAGCCGCUCGGGCGGGCGCGGCGGUGAGAGCCCGGCGAGGCGGCCUCCUCGGCGAGCCCGGACUAGCAGGUGCCGCUCACGCUGGGCUGAGCGCACGCACACGCACACGCAGACGGGCAGGGCGCGGGCUAGCGGGGACCGCGCGGGGCGGGCCGGAGGCGCGCAGCUGCCGCCGCCGCCGCCGCCGCCGCCGCCGCCGCCGCUGCUGGUACUGCCGCUGGUGCUGAUGCUGCGGGCGCUCCGCCAAAGAAGAACAGCUCAGGGAUGUUCAGCGGAGGCAUCAGAGGGCACACAACUUGCUGCCCACUGCAAAGUUGCCGCUUGCCACUUCCUUAUUAUUCGGUUUUCAUCUCCAGGCUGCAAGUCCAAGGAGAGGAUCGAGGCAGACAAGUGAGUCCAUUGUGUGAGUGUUUGCCCGGCAGCAGGCACCUGGCGACGGUCGAGAGGGGGAGAUGUGCGCCACUCACUAGAAGGCUGCCAAAGAUCAGCUACAAGCCAAGCGGCUGAGCAGUGCUUUGGAAGGUGGAAGAAACAAGGAGUUCACCAAGCAUCUGCUGAGGGAUGCCUGUCCCCGGAACAAAGAUGCCAUCAGCCAAUCACUGACUGCUUUGGGAUUCUUCUACUGCUGCCUGUUGCAGAAUCAGCUUUCUGGACUCUGCAAUGAAUUAAUUUUUCUUCAUCUUUCAUAAACUAUUCUAUCAAACCCGUUUCUCUGUAUUGCUUUGAAUGUGGUUUGCACAAAAUUAGUUGCCAACGUCUGUAUUAUAAAAUAAAAAUAAAUACAGUUUGUUGUCUCUCA
ensembl:lncRNA